UACGUAAGUGGCUAGCGUUGUCCGGAUUUACUGGGCGUAAAGAGCGCGCAGGCGGUCGUUCAAGUCGGGUGUGAAAGCCCCCGGCUCAACUGGGGAGGGUCACUCGAUACUGAUCGACUCGAAGGCAGGAGAGGGAAGCGGAAUUCCCGGUGUAGUGGUGAAAUGCGUAGAUAUCGGGAGGAACACCAGUGGCGAAGGCGGCUUUCUGGCCUGUUCUUGACGCUGAGGCGCGAAAGCUAGGGUAGCAAACGGG
rnacentral:rRNA from 1 species